UGUGUUUUCAUUCGCUAAAAUAUAACGACCAAAUCUAUACUGAAACAAGUAGGAUUUAGAAGCUGAAACGGAGUGGAUUUUUCAACAGAUUAUCCGUUAAGCCAUGUGUUUGGUUGAAAUGUCUCUCUAGUUGUGUGUCCUGGGAUUCGUUGGAUGUAGGGAUUUUAAAACAAUGAGGUCCGCUGCGCGUGUCUGGCUGUGACAAAACGUCAGAAAGACUUCAGCAGCAGCUAAGAGUUUUGCCAAUAAAGAUGAAGACAAAAUUGCCUACUUUGAAAUGUGAAUUAAUGGGAUACUGAUUGUGUUGGUCACCUACAAGCAAACUAUCAAUAACCACAAGGCUAUUUCAGGCCAUAUCAGCACACAAAAAGAUGGAAAAAAGAAGGAAGGGGGAAAGAAAUCGACACUGGUUUUGAUAGCGAAAUCAGAUAAAGUGAAGAACCCAGCGUGCCUAUCAUAAACUGAAAAGUAUUAUUUCGUGUAAAAUGCAUGUCUAUUACUUGAAGCAAGAAGGACUCCAUUUUCAAAAACCAGACACCCUAGAAGAAUUAUCGUUCAAUAUUACAGCAACAACAAAGUCUGGAUUGGGAAUAACAUAUAAGAACGUAUACAUGCAUGUAUAUGAAACGGUCAUAAUUAUAUAUGAAUUAAAAGUUUGACUGAUAAGAACAAAACUCAUCUCCUGGGCAUCUAAAUCUAAUCAUUGAUCAUAAAUUUAAGGACAUCGCUUUUCCUAUCCCCCUUUUAGAACCAAUUCGUAGUUGGUUUUUUAUUGUUCCUUGUUUUGGUUGGGGUGCGCAUCAAACGUUGCGAAGAGCUAUGAAUUAAACCACGAUACUAACCAAGUAUUUACAUAGAAAACACAAUAAAGACAUUAUGAACAUAGGACCCUCUUUCUGUAAAUUGCUUCACCCUUAGAUACAAGGCAGGGAUUGUAGCCGGACAAAAAAUGAAUACUCGUUCUUUUUCGUCAGGAUUAAUUGUACAAUUCUUUCAGCAAUAGGAAACUGGACCAUUGGAAGAAAAUGCAAUGCCCACCAAAGCAUGUUACAUUACAAAUCUUAUUUCAUAUGACGUCAUAUGAUGCCUUCAUUCCAACAAAUCAACAUGUAUAUUUGCAAAGAGGGGAAAUGUGUUUAUUUAUCCAUGCAUGUAAAUAUGUGACGAUAUAUUCUAAAAUAAAAUCUUCUAAUAUACA